ensembl:lncRNA
GUGCGCUGCCCGCUGUUACCUGCCGCGUUCAGUUCUUCUACUGCAUUUCUUAUUGUUGUUACUGUGCAAGUGCAGUUCAGUUGCAUGUUAUAUCACUUAAAAGUUAUUACUCUAUUCCCCCGGAGAACCGGAGGCUCAGAGGAGACCUUACUGCCCUCUACAACUCCCUGAAGGGAGGUUGUGGUGAGAGUUUGGGCAAGAAGUACUGUCUGGAGAUCUAAGAAUAUACAUGAAGUCAUCAUUACUGAUGGAAGGAAGCAGGGGAAAGCUGCAAAACUACUGGAGAACUGCACAUUCAUUAUGUGCAAAAAAAGAAAAAAGAAAAAAAAAGAAAGAAAAAGAAAGAAAAAGAGAAAGUAGUAUUAGAGCACCUUCUCCUCCCUGGACCUGGCUUUUCUCCUUUAUCAGCCAGCAAUUGGACUAUCACUUCGACAGUGUAUAGCACCCCACAAUAAAGAGCCUAAGGAGAGUCCUUCAGCUGAUGUCUGCUGGCCCAACGUGCCAAGCAGCAGAAGGCGGAGUAACAAAGACUCACAGAAAGCUGUUGGAAACAAUCAUUGGCAAUAUCGCUAAUAAGACAUACUAAAAAGUCAUAUGGAAACCCUUAAAAACAAUUUUUUCCUCAGUAGCUCACUCUUGAACUUUUAGGAUCAUGCCAGGGUUGUGUUUUGAAUUUAUUUUUCACAAGCCUGAGAGCUAACUACUUACUUUUAUAAAAGACAUGUAAGCUUGAGAUUGUCUCAUAUUCAAAUGACUUCUCACACCAGGAAUUAAAAAAAAAAAUAAAUAUCAUACAAAGUACUAAUUUCUACAGUGUUGAUAGCACUGCAAAAGCAGUUGUGGAGUCAUUAAUGCCCAGUGAUUCCCACACAGUUCUUAGUUUUGCUGUGUUAGAUUGUGUUUGCAGUGGAGCUAGCACCUCCAACCCAUGGUGUGAUCCUGGGAGGAAGAUCUCUGUAUUUGCAAAGUGCUGAGCUAGCUGCCUAUCAAAAAAGACCAGAAAAUUUUGUCUUCUGUCACAAGCACUUAAAGCUAAUAUCACAAUGAAAUGCUACAUAGGGAAAAUUUACACUAAGACCAGCUUUGUAAACCUUGAACACACUGAGGAAUAGUAUGUUUCUUGCAGACUUGCAUGGUAUUACAUUUUGCAGUCUCAGGCCCAGUCCUUACCUCAUGAUUCACUCAAACAAAACAUUUAUUGAAGCAAUUUGGAAUUUGGCAGGAAGAAAAAUAGAGAUAGUUCAAAAUCAAAAUACAGACAGAAACACUUUGGUCUUCUAGUGAAGUUUGGAUCCUUACACAGACCCAAAGUUUGCUGUUCAGAACUUAAUUCUCAUGUAAGAUUACAGAAGGACUUCCGAUGGGCCUCCAUCCGCUGAGCCCUGUGUAAGUAGGCUUUAACGAACGCCAUCUGUGGCUGUUCCACAGGCAUACCAAGUUCUUAAGGUACACAAUAAAGCGUUAUUUUUGUAAGAAUACUCUGUUCCCCACUUUGCCCCUGUAUUCCUCACCCAUUUGUUAUUCCCUCAUAAAGAACUGUUGCGUUAGAUGCUUCUUCGGUCCUAACCACUUUAAUCCUCCUCCUUUUGGUUUACUGUGGAGCAGCAGGUCUUGUCAGAGUGCUUGCGUGGAUUUUCUCUCAGUUGUUGGUAUUCGUGCUUGUCCUCCAAGUCUCUCUCUCUCUCCCUUUUAAGUAGUGAAAUCCUUUAUCUGUCCCCUCCUGACCCCCCCCUGCAUGUCUGGCUCCUGGGCAUCUACUUUACUUUUGUUCUCUGCUCCCCAGCAGCUGUCCUUGUUCUACUCAGCCACAGUAGCUCACAAUGGUUUGGUCUGCUUGUGCCCGUUCCCCUGGCUUCUGGGACACACAGAUGUCCAGCACUGUUUUCUGUGGUAAGAACUGAGGUAAUUCUUUCAAAUUGGACUUGACAGACCCCAAGUCAUAUCAAGGAGGAAAUUUAGCACAGUUCAGGGCAGAGGAGGCUCUGUGCCAUGCCCUGCUACACUGCUACACGCCUUGGUUUAGUUUGGAUAUUUCAGCGCCGAUUUCUGUGCGUUGUAAGUGUUCUGCAUUUCUCUCUCACUGCUGUUUAUGCUUCUUGCUAGAACUUCUGUUGGGUUUGAACAGCUAGGGCACCUGCCAGCACUCAUGCAGGGAAGGUUUCAGCCCUGGACCUCCACGGCGCUUUGGGAACAACGAAGGCCAUUGGAGAAACACAGUAUGGAAGCAUACAAUUUCUAGAAACAUUUCUCCAUAGCUUUUCCCAAGUGAGUAAUUCAGUUAGUGGAAAAAUAUAUACACAAUGCAAAUCAUCAGGUG